UACAGAGGUCCCGAGCGUUGUUCGGAUUCAUUGGGCGUAAAGGGUGCGUAGGCGGCGGGGAAAGUCUGAUGUGAAAUCCUGGGGCUCAACCCUGGUACUGCAUUGGAUACUUCCUUGCUAGAGUACUGGAGAGGAAACUGGAAUUUACGGUGUAGCAGUGAAAUGCGUAGAGAUCGUAAGGAAGACCAGUGGCGAAGGCGAGUUUCUGGACAGUUACUGACGCUGAGGCACGAAGGCCAGGGGAGCAAACGGG
rnacentral:rRNA from 1 species